CCCCCUCCCCCUUUUCUGAUGAAGGGUCUAGGCCUGAAAUGUCAGCUUUUGUGCUCCUAAGAUGCUGCUUGGUCUGCUGUGUUCAUCCAGCUCCACACUUUGUUAUCUCGGAUUCUCCAGCGCCUGCAGUUCGCAUUAUCUCUCACCUGCAUGCUGGUAGUUUUGCCAAUUAUUUUAAAUUUGUCUUCUCGGGUUUUUGAGCCUUUCAACAGUUUCAAGAUAACGGACCGGACAAGAGACCUUUGUGUCUCAAAUUAGAAUCAAACUCGAUGAAAUAUAUCCCACUUUAUUUCAGUGAUGUCUUCGCCAUUGUCCUUCACAGCAUUUUUCUUUCACUGUUUCAACAACAGAACUCUAACAUCCAGCAGGCUGAGAAAUACGAAUUGGUGUACGUCGGCCGCCAUCGCCUGCUACCAGUUCUAUCUGUUCUCUGAAAAUUAAAUGCAUCACCAGCCAAGGAAAUUGCACAAACAGUGUGUGCACAGAGCAGAAACUGACAAGCAGUGAUUACUGAGGAAAUUAGCGGGAAAAUAUAUACUGACCACGUUCUGUAUACGCAAAUUCAAUAACUUGAAACAUUUGAGUAUAAUUUGGAAUUCACUGUUUGAAAGGAAGUCACAUAAGCGUUAAUGAAGUGGAGGAGGUUUUGGAAUCUGCAUCAUCUCAGGAACCAGUGAAAAUCGAUUGUCUUGCAUAAGACCACUGUAACAAUACAGUGGAUAAAGGUUAAUCUGCCCUACAAAACAGAAAGAUUCUCCUCAAUGAAUAAGGUUGCAAUGAAGGAAUACGGAAAUAGAAACUUUGACAAAGACUCCUGUAAAAAGUGAAUAUCACGCUACUGGAUGGUUGUGAAAAAGGAUUGGUUCGCUUCAAGGAAAAGGGAGUAUUUGGCCAAGAGCAUCUUGGAUGUCCUGCUUAUUAUAAAGAAUCAGAGGAGGACACGUAAGCCAAACCAUCUUCUGCAGGAUUGAGAGGCAAGAGGGCAACAGGCUCCAGAUUCAUGAUGCUGCCAGUCCUGCUGGAUUUCACCAGCUAUUUCUAUUUUUGUGUGUUUCAGGUCUCUUUCAUUGACAGUUCUCAUUUUAUUUCAAUUUAAUUGUUUCCAUGCUACGGUGGAAGAUAAACACUGACAAAUGAAGGCAUUUCCAACGUGUUGCGUUUGUUUGUUAAACUGGAAUCAAAGUUGAAUCUUCAAUAGGAAGUCUCCACAUUUAUAUGCAAAAGUAGGGGAUGUAUUUCUAAAUGAAGCAAUGUCGAAGAUUGAUUAAUAACAAUCAAGGUGCAAUUUGUGGCAGCGGAUGGAACAGUUCAUUUGAAGUGUUAACUUUGUGAAUUGUCAGACAGUGAUGUCAAAUAUUUAUUACAACUGAAUACUAAGCCAAUACAAGGUAAUCAAUUAUAAGGAUGAAACACUGUCUAAGUAAAACAUCAGCAAAAGUGAUAUCCGGACGUCAACACGGGAGGCAUCAUCUGCUGAGUACGCACUUGAAAUUAAAUUGAUAUUCCAUGGAAAAGCCUGGUAGCACGUCUAAAAUCCCUGAAUAUUUAAUUCAGACUGAGACAAAGUGCAGAGUUAAUUGGUGUUGAGUGUAAAUCUUAAAUUCGAAUUCUACCGAGCAAACAUGUGCUCCGGAAUUGAAUUAAUCUGGUUCAUUGUAAUUGGUCCUUUCCAAUUCAAGUGCAUUCUGCCCUUCUUAUAAAAGCCAUUUCUUCCCCAGAAGAGAUUCCAAUGAUCCAUAGAAGCCCUAGCUCCUCAGUCACACAUUCAUCUGAUCUAUCAUCCUCCUCUUAGCCUCACUAGCUCUAGGCACCAGGAGUAAUCCAAAUAUUACCACCCUCGAGGAUCUCCUUUUUAAAUUCUCGCCUAACUUCCUAUAUUGUCUCCUCAGAAUCUUGUUAUUUUCUCAUUCUGUGUUGUUAGUUCCAAUGUGUACAAUGAGGUCCUGCUGGCUGCUCUCCCGGUUGAGAAUAUCCUGUCGCCUCGCUGAGAUAUCCUCGAUCCUGGCAGCAGAGAGACAGCGCACCAUUCUGAUGUCUCACGGUCGGCUGCGGAAACAUCAAUGUGUGCCUCUGACUAGAGGUUCCCCUGUCACAGUCCAUCGCUUGGAACUUGGUUCCAGAAACCUGGCUGUCAGUGCAACUGCCAUGCGUCAUACCCCCAAUCUCCUGUAAAUUCCUCAUUGCCUCGAACUGCUACUCUAACUGAUCCAUGUGAUCCAAUUGGAUUCGCAACCAAACACACUUCCCAUAGACAUAAUCAUCAGUAAUAUGGAAACUCUCCCUAAUCUCCCACAUCCAACAGGAAGACCACAUCACCCUACAAAAGGUCAUUUUUACACCUUGACAAUCCACAGACCCAGAAAAAGCACAGUCUUACUGCUCCACAAAACACUGCUCAAGGUUAACUUAGUACCUAUGUUUGAUAUUUUUAAAGUUUGAUCAACAGACAGAUCUCAAUAAGACAUACAAUCAAAAAAGAUCCCAAUCUCCUCCCUAUUGUAGAUUUUCAGAAAGUAACAGUAAAUUUAAACUUAAAACGUAGCCACAUAGCUUCCCACUUGCUGUGAGCUCUACCACACAGGUUUCUCUAAGGUCAGCUGUGAAUUUCACUGUUUGUUACUUUUUCUUAGAUGAAUUCCAACAUCCAGAGAUACUUGAAACUAAACAGCAGAGACAGUUAUCUGUGCUGGAAAAUCUUUACGGUUCACUUAUAUUUCCACAGCCCCUCCCUUGAUUGGUCUAUAUGUGACUAUAUUCCAAGCAAAAUGUUUGACUGUUACUGUCUCUCACUUGUUCACAAACCAGAGGUAGCUCGCCAUCACCUUGUCAGGGUACCGAGACGUAACCAACAUUGAUGCAUUCCAAACAUUGUCAAUGUUCCAAAAAGCUAUUGGACUUCUGUCUACAUAUAAUAGUGCACUUUGGUGGCUGACCUUUGAUACUUCAGGGAUGCCUAUUUCAAUUAUCACU